CCUACGGGUGGCAGCAGUGAGGAAUAUUGGUCAAUGGGCGCGAGCCUGAACCAGCCAAGUAGCGUGAAGGAUGACUGCCCUACGGGUUGUAAACUUCUUUUAUAAAGGAAUAAAGUGAGGCACGUGUGCCUUUUUGUAUGUACUUUAUGAAUAAGGAUCGGCUAACUCCGUGCCAGCAGCCGCGGUAAUACGGAGGAUCCGAGCGUUAUCCGGAUGUAUUGGGGUUAAAGGGAGCGUAGAUGGGUUGUUAAGCUAGUUGUGAAAGUUUGCGGCUCAACAGUAAAAGUGCAAUUGUUACUGGUAGGCGUGAGUACAGUGGAGGUAGGCGGAAUACGUGGUGGAGCGGUGAAAUGCUUAGAAAUCACGAAGAACACCGAUUGCGAAGGAAGCUUACUAAAAUGCCACUGACAUUGAUGCUCGAAAGUGUGGGUAUCAAACAGGAUUAGAAACCCUUGUAGUC
rnacentral:rRNA from 1 species